UGAGCAAACAGAGUGGUACCCGCC
rnacentral:siRNA from 1 species